rnacentral:rRNA from 1 species
UACAGAGGGUGCGAACGUUUGUUCGGAAUUACUGGGCGUAAAGAGUGUGUAGGCGGUGCUCUAAGUUCGGUGUGAAAUCUCCUGGCUUAACUGGGAGGGUGCGCCGGAAACUGGGGUGCUCGAGCGUGGGAGAGGAAAGCGGAAUUCCUGGUGUAGCGGUGAAAUGCGUAGAUAUCAGGAGGAACACCUGUGGUGUAGACAGCUUUCUGGACCAUUGCUGACGCUGAGACACGAAAGCGUGGGUAGCAACAGG